UACGUAGGGUGCGAGCGUUGUCCGGAAUUAUUGGGCGUAAAGAGCUCGUAGGCGGUUUGUCGCGUCGGCCGUGAAAUCUCCACGCUUAACGUGGAGCGUGCGGUCGAUACGGGCAGACUUGAGUUCGGUAGGGGAGACUGGAAUUCCUGGUGUAGCGGUGAAAUGCGCAGAUAUCAGGAGGAACACCAGUGGCGAAGGCGGGCUCACUGGGCCCCGGUACUGACGCUGAGGUGCGAAAGCGUGGGGAGCAAACAGG
rnacentral:rRNA from 1 species